GGUUCCGUGGUGUAGUGGUUAUCACAUAUGCUUCACACGCAGAAGGCCGCCGCCGGUUCGAUCCCAGCCGGAAUCA